UCUAAGUAUAACCUGCCAGACAGGGAAACUGCGUACGGCUCAUUACACCAGCCUUAAUUUACUUGACCUUGACAACCUACUUGGAUAACUGUGGUAAUUCUAGAGCUAAUACAUGCACCAAAGCUCCGAUCCUCGCGGAGAGGAGCGCAUUUGUUCCCCACUUAACCAAGCGCCCAUCUGGGCGUCCAGUGCUGAACCAGAACAACUCAGCUGAUCGCACGGUCUUGUACCGGCGACGUGUCUUUCAAGUGUCUGCCUUAUCAACUUUCGAUGGUAGUGUACCUGACUACCAUGGUUGUGACGGGUAACGGAGGAUAAGGGUUCGACUCCGGAGAAGGGGCCUGAGAAAUGGCCACUACGUCUAAGGAUGGCAGCAGGCGCGCAAAUUACCCACUCUCAACGCGAGGAGGUAGUGACGAGAAAUAACGAGACCGUUCUCAUACGAGGCCGGUUAUUGGAAUGGGUACAAUUUAAA
rnacentral:rRNA from 1 species